AGGUGUCAAUAUGUUUUGUCUGAUGUGUACACCAUAUCCUCCGCGAAAUUGGUUAAUCUGGUAGGCAGAUCUCAAAAUAUGCAUCCCGAUCAAUGGUGAUACUAAUUUCAAGUUUGCAUGUGUCCAUGGAAGACAUGCUUCCUACCUUCGCUUAUGCCUCUAUAUAGCAAUGAUUUUGUUUUUUUGCAUCUCAAUUAUCUAUGCAUCUACUACCUAUCAUGUACGUUGUGGUAGAUCAAAUUAUUGCUUCUCAUAAGCCAUGCUUCCUACCUAUAUAUUUCGGAAAUGUUAACGCCCACACGUGUGGGCGUUCACCAUCCCGACCACACGCAAGCAUCUCCGUUGGCAGCUUUGUGCACGAAUCUUGGAACAAACCGGCCGGUUUUCUACGCCACGUAGGACGAGGCGCGUGUGCGGUGUGCGAGUCGGGUCGCCCGCACGUUGGUUGCCAUCCCGCGGUCAGCGGUUGCCACUCGGAGACGUGCGGUGGAACCACAAUGCGCCCGCACGCCACGCUCCGACCGCGGUUGACGUCAAACACGUCGCACACCGCAGUCCCCUCUCCCUCACGGUUCCAUUUACCCUGCCGCACGCAGUUACUGGCACAAGCCACUCGCAUUUCAAUCCACUGGAGGAGAAGGCGAGGGGAGAAGGCGACGGCGGAGGCGGAAGAAUCGACGGCGUUCGCGACCGUCGGUGGUGCUCGCCGGAACGGAGCGGCUGCGCCGGAGCGGCUGCGGCUUGAAGGUAAUGGUCGCUACAACUCUCGCAACCCCUUCCUGCAUUUUCCCCCCUUCCCUCCCUGCUUGAUUCCUCGAUCGAGUUCGUAGAUAUUCAGGCGAUUCUGCGAUGCGUCGGCGUUCCCGCCGGCGCCGAAGUCGUCUGCUAGCCGUUUUUGGUUGCACUGGGCAGUUUCGUCGCCGCCGCCGCGGCGGCAUCGUCGGUGUGGUUAUGCUUGUUCGGAGGCAGGCACUAGUCUUGCCUAUGGAUUGGGCAGGUGUCUCCCGGGUUGUUUGAUCCGCAUUGGUUGGAAUUUGUGUUUGCAGUCAGUUCGGGGGUGAACUUUGAGGGUGAAUUUGAGGUCGCGGUAGUUGCCAUUGAACCCUAGAUCUAGUUAGUUGGGUUUUGAAACUGUAGUAGGAGGCGAACUUGGUGGUUUGAUUAACUAUCAUGAUUGUGUGGCAACUAACUCCCUGAACAAAUGUGAUAGUUGCCACAAACGUGUUUUCCUUUGCGCGGCAACAAAUUACUGAAAUGACUAUGAUAGUUGCCACAUAUAAGCUUUCGCAUGGGGCAACUUUUUUUUAUUGAAUGACUGUGAUAGUUGCCAAACACACACUCUUCCAUGUGCAACUGAAUUUGCUGAAUUACUGUGACAGUAGCCACUAACAUGCUUUUUCAUUGUGGCAUCAAAUUUUUCUGAAUGAUUUGUGGUAGUUACCACUUUGUGAUAGUCGCCACAAUCUGUAGUCAAUGCAGUUUCAGCAGCCAACUGCACUGGACGGCAACUAAUGUGCACUUCAAGUGUGCCUGUUACCACUCGGAUUAGUAUAUUCAUGUGGCAAACAGAAUGUGACCAUACUGUCUGUUGCCAUUCUGCUGAUACGACAGUGUGGCAAAUUGGCUACAUAAUGUGGCAACCAAAUUUGCAUAUCAAUUCUGUCAGAUGUCAUACAUAUGUUAUUUUUCCUGCAUUCACUAGUUGACAUUUUCUGUAAGGUGGCAACUGCUUACCUCUUGCAUUCACAUUUCAUCCAUGACAAUUUGGUCCGUCUCUAUCUCAGCAGAAUGGCUCGUGGCGAUCAUCAAAAUGAUGAUGAUGAUUUCAUGGAUCCACCACAGCGUAAUCGGGCAGCUGGCCGGAUAAAAGAGGGUGAUGAGGUAAAUGUUCACACAUCCCCCCCUCAAUCCUGCUUUAUGUUACUGGUUGACACCUCGAGCUUGCAGUCGUCUGACACGGACUAAAAUUUCAUGACAUUGGAAAACAUGGCAACAACUGACCACUUACUGUCUGUUUUUUGCAGAAGAAGAAACGUAUUCGCAACAGAGCCUUCCAAGAACGACUGGCUACAUUGACUGACAAAUUCACCGAUGAUCAGAAGGGGGCUGCUGCUGAGAUGGGUAUGCAGUCUAUGAUGGCUGUCCGGUGCACGAACCUUGUCAACACUGUAUGCGACUGGCUUGCUGAGAUAUACGAGCCUGCCUCCAGGUAGUUCGUGAUUCCGGGAUGUGGAAGACUCCCAUUGAAUGAGGAUUCUGUGUUCUGCACUCUGGGCGUGCCUCGUGGACAUAUCAAAGUCCCGUACGAGGUCAACAAUGAGAUCGAGCAAGAACUGUUCCCCCGUUUGUUUCCUGGGUCGAAAUCCAUGUCGAACACGUCUGCAGUGGCAGAUUCGCUGCAGGCCAUGACGAUGCAUGGAGAUGUUUUCAAGAUGAAGCUACUCAUGUACCUCAUCUCAGCUGUUUUUGCGCCGACCACCUCCCUUCGCCCAAGCAACAAAUGCUUCCCCAUCCUGGUGAAUGAUCCAUCUUUACUUCUUUAUUUUCCUUCAAUCUUUCGGCUCCGAUGUCAUGUGUAAAGUUAGUGACUGCCAGUGUUUUCGAUGUUUUUUUCCAUUCUUAGAUUUCUGAUGCGGCAACCUUUUUGCCCUGAAAUUUUGUGUGGUGCAGACGGAUCUGAAAAAUGUGAAGAACAGAAUUGGUGCAAGUUUAUUGCCGACUUCCUCCACGAUGCAUUCGCAAGCAAGAUGUACCAAAAGGGUUGUCGACUGCAUUUAAUGGUAUUUUUUUACCAGUUCUUUCUGUGAACACUGUCUUAUAACACACUUUUAUUCAUGCAUGUCAACCUGAUCAUAACAAGAUGGCAACUGCCAUAAUGACAACAUGGCAACUGUUACAAUGACAAUAUGGCGACUGCCAUCAUAUUAGUAUGGCAACUGUUACCAGACUAUGAUGGCAACUGCCAUCUUAGCAAUAUGACAAUUGCCAUCACACCAUGAUGGCAACUAGCACAUACAGAAGGCAACUUCUUUUUUAUUCCAUUUUUUCCAUGCACAUCAGCUUGAUUAUCGGGGGAACAUACAUUAUCUUGUUUUUUUAACUACACAGUACACAUGACGGCAACUGAUAUUUCUUUCUUUGUAAAAUUGUCUUAAAUCAGCUCAUGUAUGUCGACUAUCUUGAUCUGUCCACUGUGGAUUUCACUAGGGUAGGAGGCCCGCCGCCUACGCACAAGUUUGCUAUUUCUGCAUGGACUAUCAACACUGUCAAGGUUGUGCUUGCCGCAGACAGGGCAACUGAUACCAAAUAUGAAAAAUUGCGGUUAGUUUUGGUUUCUCUCUCCACAUGGCAUGCUUACAAAUUUGACAUGAGGGAACCGUCCGUGGUUCAUAAGGGAUGACCACCUUUUGUGAUCCAUGGCUGUAUGCGUAUUGUAUCCAUGUUUCACCCCACAAGGGAACUCGUUUCAUUCGUGUUGAAACUUACCUUCUAUCUCUUACAUCCUUGCUAUUUUUUUUGUUUUUUCUAGCUGAUGGCCAAGCAUGCUAUAGACUACAGCGUGUUUGGGGGGCUCAAAACUUUGAAAAAUGGAUGGACGUGCACUCAGCUCCGUCUUGCCCUACUGAGGUAAUCAAAAUAUGUACAUCUAUGUUUUGCCGUGGAUUAUUUGUUGAUGUUGCGCAAGUGACUGCAAUAUGGGUGGUUGUUGAUGUUUCUUGUUUCAUGCACAGGAGAGGGCACCUGUUGAGCAUCUAAUUGGGCAGUUUGCAUCCGGAAUGACCGGCUUGCUCGGGAAGUUGGUUGAGGGGUGGACGUCUCUCAGUGGCUCUGACAGUGAUGCGGUUGCAAGGCAGUUCACUUCAUUUGUCCCAGAACGUACACAUCGGCCAACCGGUUGCCGUGGCCGGUAUGACUAUAACAGUUCCCAAGAGCCCGGUGACACACAAGAUGAUCUAGAUGGAGACGCUGGCCUCAGCAAGGAUGACGACGAUGACAUGGAGAACGUGCAACAUGACACCGAUGAUGAUGAGCAUGCUGAAGUUUGCGCAGGUGGUAACAAGGACAAGGAUGCAACAGAUGUCCCCCCCCCCCACCGGAGAAAGUCAAAGAACAUACAGCUGCGAGAGGCGAGGGGGUGUUGCCAUCAAGGAGGGGGAGGUCUCCAGGAGAUGUUGGGCAGGGUUCUCGUGGCAAGAGGUCUAGGACCGAUCCCGUAGCUGCCAGGAGGAGGUUCGACUUUAAAUAUAUUUUUUGCUGUGUCUAUUUUCUUGGAACAGUCUCAUCCAUUUCUUGCACUUGUUUUUUGUCAAGCGCGGUAAUGAGUUUGUUGUCUGACAGUUGCCACCUUUUUUUUACCUCCAACUCAUACGUGCAGCGAGCCGACCGCUGGUGGACGAGCAGUUACGAAGAAACAGGCGCCAACGCCAAACCGUGUUUCUGCUCGCUUGAACAAAGGUGCCCCCAUUGGUGACACCCCUUCCACCAGGUCUUCUCCUCGUACGACGAUGACCAACACCAGGGAUCCUAUCGUGUUGCCAGACCUAAGGAAGCCAGUCAAGAAAUAGGUUUCUCCAUGUGCUUUCAUUGACAUAGCGUUAUAUUUUCUUGAUUUUCCAAUGCAUCCGUUUAGCUUGUCACAUGGUCUUCUGUCAUCGUCCCCCACGCGGCAACUGCUGUUUUUUCCAAAUGAUUUCUUCCUUCAUUUUUAAAGUGUAUGGCAACUCAUAUUGGUUUUUACAUGGCAACUGGCAUCUAAGCCAAAUGGCAACUCUUACUGUACCUAAUGGCAACUGCCAUUUGUUUCCCGUUGGCUUGUGAGCUCAUCCCACACCCAGGUUUGAAAUUGCAUUCAUGGCAGAUCAGACAUUCUUAUCAUUCUUCAAGUUGCCUAACAUCGCAACUGCUGCUGGAUGGCAACUGCUAAUUAUGACACAUGGCCACUCACGUCCCCCUUACAUGGCAACUACCAGCUUUUCCACUUGUUUAUCAUUUUUUAAAGAUUUCUACCAUGCCAAACAUAUUUUUGUUCAUUUUUCAAUAUCUUUUUCAUGUGCUUUUUUUUGCAGGGUGAAGAAGACCACUAUGCGCGGGGCCAAGCAUAUCAGUAAGGACCCGCUCGAACGCCUACAUUCAAAGUUGUCAACAGGGGGCAACUCAGAUGUACAUGAGGCACCAGGCGACAAUACUGCUGCUGCACCAUUGAUCGCUCCCACCAACUCUGAUGCAAGUGGCCGACCAUCUCCGCCGGCUGCAGAUGUGCAGGCUAGAACAACAGGCAAACGUACAUCAGGGAGUGACGAGUCGGUAUCUGCCAGGACAGCUGAAAUAUUGCCAACUCUAUUGGCAAUGAAGGAUGCUGCUGUGAGCCAUGCCACCCCAUCAGCAAGUGUUGAAGUGGAUGCUCCCGAGACGAACCUAAGCAAGGAAUAUUCCCGCUCAUCUGACACUGAUUCCAAGCGCGUGCGUGGUCGCACUCCUGUGUCCACGACAGAAGCGGCUGAGGCGGCAGUUCACAAGGAUAUGACAUCUACAGGUGAGAGUCCUGGCACAACAGCUCCAGCUCCUGUCGGUGCAGAUACUGCUAAGGCGACUGUUUCGCGUGCUAGUCUUCCACCUAGGCGUCGUAGCCCCCGCAAGCAACCAACAGACAUAACUAAUGCAUCGGCUGUAGCUAGGAGCAGGAGAGACGAGCCUGGUUAUGUUCCUGCGUCCACACUGUUCCCGUCACCUGCCAAAAGCAAUGUGAUGGAGAAACCGGAAGACCGGAGCACAACUGAUGCAGGUGUCAAGCCGGGCACGAGUGACGCAGGUGAACUCCCGGAGCAGACUGCGCCUUUACCCGCAUUGGAAAUCCCCAUCAUAAAUCUGCGCACUUCCAGGCUCCCACUCAAUGUCGGUCUCCCCUACAGCCCAAACAAGAAGAUUGUCAAGAAAGUUGUGGUUGAUACCGCUGACAAGACGCCCCGCCCUGCAAAUAAGCCCGAUCAUUCUGUAGCGGCCGAUUCAGAUAUGUUUGUCGAUCUUUCACCCUUGGAUUCUGCCCCGCAAAUUGUUCGUGGUCCGGCCAGUAGUAAUGAGAGGCACCCAAUGGCCUUUACCCCACCGAGCUUCAACCUUGGCAUCGGUCAAGAUCAACCGGUGGUGCAAGAUCCUAUGCCAGUUGCCUUUGCUUUCCCAGGAGGCAUGCCUGCAAUGAUGGCGCAGCCAAUGAUCGAGGGCAGGAAGGCUGUCAAGUUCACAGAGCCGAUUGUGAAAGGUACACUUGUCAUGUUCUUAUGAUUUUCUUGCAUACAUCUUUGUAGUUUGACUUUUGUUCCAAUCAUAUUUUUUGGGGGGGAGGGGGUUCUCACUUGUGAUGGCAACUGACAUGUGAUGACAUGGCAACUGGAUUUGAUGCACCAUGUCACAUACAUUUCCUUUGCUGUCGUGCUGCAUUUAACAUUUGGGCAACCACGUGGCAACUGAAGUUGCUUCAACAUGGCAACUGUAGUUGCUGUCACAUGGCAACUACAGUGCAUUACAGAUGGCAACUGGAUUUGCCACACCAUGCCAACUGCAUUUUUUGUUUUCAUGCUGCAUUUUUUCAUACGGCAAUCACAUGGCAAGUGCAGCUGACACAACAUGGCAACUAUAGUUACUGUGAUAUGGCAACUAUAAUCCAACUAGAUGGUAAUUACAGUGCAACUACAUGGCAACUGUAGUUGCUAUGACAUGGCCACUGUAGUUGGACCAUGCAUGGCAACUGCCCCACUUUUUCUGCCCACAAUCUCACAUCAUGCACCCUACCUCCUCACAAUCCAUCUGUUUUUGAUUUUCUAGGUAUCCUAACACACUUUUUAAUUUUUUUAUCAUUGCAGCCACCCCUGAGGAGAUUUCACCGUCACUUGACGAAGCUUACCGCAUGAUCGAGGAGGCAGCAUUGCAUAGGAGGUCCUCACGAGGGCAAGGGCAAUCAAGUUCCAACGUGCCUGCAGAUAUGGUAUCUGAGGAUACCAUUAGGAGUGCCACUCCUGGUUCUGUGAGGCAGCAGAGGGUAGUUCACCCACCUCCCGCGGAAGACUACGAGCCCGAAUUCAAGGUCACUAAGGAACAGACCCAGCUGUACGAUAUCGUCAAGCGGUUUGGAAAUGCGAGGGCUAGCAGCAAGCACAUGAAGGAGGUGAAAGCGUAAAUGACCACACCCCAUAAUCUCUCAUUUUUGCUUUGCUCCUUUUUUACGAUUCACCUUCUUCGUACUUCCUAUACACGAUCCGCUUACGUUUUAGUUCUUUCAUAUAUUUUUUACUUAGCAGGCAUGAUCCUUCCAUGUUAUAUCGUUUUCAUACAGCUCAUGUUUGGACAGAACCAAAGUCAUUCAAUGCGGAGCGACGUACGUCGACCUGGGUGAUCUUGCUGAGUCCGUGAGGCCAAACGGUAAAAUAUCGACGAAUGUAGUUGCAUGCGGAUCGACUACAUCAGAAAUCAUAUGGAUGUGUGUGCCGACAAGAUAAUCAUGCAUUAUAUUGUGACCUGCAAAAUAUGGGAUGGUGACUUCCACCACAAAAUCCUGAGGAAGAAUUUUGCUCAACACGGUGAUUUCAAGCUCACACUGAAGAAAUAUGUGAGUACUCCUCCCCUUUCUGCACUGUUUUGUCAUAUGGUGUGGGUUUUUUUCCAUCAUCUGCACUUGAGUUUAUGUGGCAGAUGUUUUCAUGUGGCAAUAGUUGCCGUGCACACUGUCAUCUUGAUUUUUGCAUCCCGUGCAAACUAUGUGGCAACUUGAUAGUAAAAUACACGGCUCAUUUUGUUCAUACAUGGGCGGCAACUUUCUGUCAACUACCCCCACCCAUAACCAAAACAUUCUACGUGAUUCUAAAUUUUUUGUCCCUCUGCUUCUCAUUUCUUCACUUUUAAAUGCAGGUCAUGUUCCCCAUGUUCCAGGAGCUUGCACCACAUGACCAGCAAGACAAGUGUGGUCACCACUAUGUCAUCUGUCUUGACCUGAAGAACCAACGUUUUGAGGUGCUUGAUUCAAUCCGUUCGGAAGCUGAUACAGAUCUUACUACGCAUGCCGAAUUCUUCAUCAACAACCUCAAAGAGACAUGGAACCGUCACUACGAACAUUCAAAAGUCCAGAUCAGGCAUUUCCCGACUGAGUAUGUGGCGACUGCGAAGCAAGGGAACACGUAAUUUCUUAACCCCCUCCUUCAUGUGCCAUUUACAUCAAUCCAACCCCUCUUUUGUUGCCACAUCUGAAUUGAAGUCUAUCAUUUGCUACGUCUGCCCUUUUUGUGUGUUCACCUGACUCUUUUUCUCGUGCAGGACGGACUGUGGCUUUCACGCGCUGGAAUACUUUGCCAAGUGGGAAGGCAGAAUUGUCCCCGCUAUCACAGCUACAACGUUCGUUGAGCUCCGGAAAAUCCACACAUGGAACUGGUUGACGAAUGAAGAUUUCAACAAGCGGUCCGGAGCACGCGAGUUUGUGGAGGAAGCUGUCAAGAAAGUCAUCAAGAGGUACAAGUGAUCACGCGGCGAUACACACCGGAUGCACACCUUACAUUCUGUUGCCGAGGAAUGUAAGGUACUAUCUCUUUUGUUCUCGUCAAAAACUAUGUUCGUGUGUUAUGUUAUGACUGCAACCCCGCGUAGGCUACUAUGUAGUGGUGGUGUGUGAGCGACAUUUGAAUAGUUUCUGUAAUAUAUGUGUGGAUGUGAACCUACUUAGGCGUGACAGCAGAUAUGUUUUUUAUGUUUAUCAUUAUUACUAUGGUUUCGUCGUUUGCAUCACCCGUUUGCUGUUUCGAAUGCGUCACGGUGUUUUAAAACAUGGCAAAUGUAGUUCAUCAGACAUGGUUAGCGAACGUCAUUGUCGUUGUUCAUUUGGACGUCUUGCUUCUUCUAUUUCAUCACUAACUUCACCGGCUAGCAUGGUAGGUUUGAUCAUGUAGCCACAACCUUUGCUGCGGUUUAUGCAUGUUACGCCUUUUCCAACUUGUUUCUUAUACAUUGCACACAAUACACUAUGUGUCUCUAAACCGCGUCGUAUUGUCAUGGAAAUAUAUGCCAUGCAGAGUCAUUACAAGUACCAUGGCAUAUUUUCAGUACAGCUAACAUGGCAGACACAGUACAAACAACAUUGCAGAUCCAGCAUAAUUAACACGGCAGAUAUAGUACAACUAACAUGGCAGAUCCAGUACAACUGAAGUGGAAGAUGCAGUACAACUAGCAUGGUAUAUUUGGUACAAAAUAGCAUGGCAUAUUUAGUACAAAAUAGCAUGGCAUAUUUAGUAUAAAAUAGCAUGGCAGACUAACUACACAUAACAUGGCAGAUUAACUACACAUAACAUGGCAGAUUAACUACACAUAACAUGGCAACUGCAUUUAUCCACUCAAUGAAUUUUCCUUCCACUUCCGAUGCCCCUCAAGAGUCAUUCUCGCAAUCUUAAAAAAAAUCUCAUCAUCUAGGGUACAAAAGAAAAUGUCCACAAGGACCAUGUCACGUCGCCCCAAUUUUUGCUCAUGGAUUGCCCGCCCCUUUCUUCGUUUUCUUGUGUUUUGAUUGAAUCUCCAAUCUCGACUUGUACCUUGUCUCUCUUGGACGACCCUUUGUGAUCGAACAGGGUGGGUUCCUGACCUGGGUCUGUGUGCUUGCUGUUUCAGAUCCUAUCUCCGAGUUUUCAGAUGAUGGCCCCGUGGACGAAGGCACACUUGAUGUGCGGGGGAACCGGUGUAAGGCUUCCUCAGCUUUCCUCUUCUUAAUCUCAUCAAGCUCUCUUUUCAGUGUCUUCCUGUGUUUUUCCGCGACUCUCGCUGUCUCAUCACUCUUGCACGCUUGAUCAAUUAGCUCAGCAUAGUUCUUUGUCAGCACAACGUGCCUCACGUCUUCCAUGGUUGACUCAGGUCUCUCGUCAUGUACAGCCAGAACUGCGUGUGUUGUCUGUGGCGCCAACGCAUCGUCAGCGUCCCAAGUCUAUCGCCGCCUUAUGAAAUGGCGGGGCAUCCGUAUCACAGCGUUCAUGUCCAUUACUUUUAGUAUGUGACAGCACACAAUGUCGUCCCGUUCGAACUUGCAGCAUUGACAGUAGUACUCGCCUUCGCCUAUCGAGGCUUUGACGAAGUAGUUUCUUCAUUUGUCCGGGUCUUCAGGUUCUGAAUCUGACAUGCCCAAAAUAGAACACACCUUGAACGUAUGUUCGUCCACCUGGAAAGCCGUGAACAUGCUGGCACGCUUUAUUUCUUCCUGGAAUCUGCAAGUUUUGUGUGUUUUCUGUUAAACUAUCGCGCUUUUUUCUUGUACCACCUUAUAUUAUCAUGUAAGUAGAAAUACAUUUUUGAUUGAACAUGGCAAACAUAGUUCAUUCAACAUGGCAAAUAUAGUACGUUGAACAUGGCAAAUGCAGUACACUAGACAUGGCAAAUGCAGUACACUAGACAUGUCAAAUGCAGCACACUAGACAUGGCAAUUGCAGCACACUAGACAUGGCAAUUGCAGCACACUAGACAUGGCAAUUGCAGCACAUUUUCAACUGGCCAACAUCAUUUCCCACACCAACAUUCCCCAACGAAAGCACAUUGCAUAAAACAUGGCAACUGCCCUUUUAGUUAAACAUGGCAUCUAUAAUUGGCUAAACAUGGCAAUUGCAUUUCAACAAACAUGGCAGAUUCACUUUAUUAAACAUGCAACUGCAUUUCAGCAUAUGUGCCGCCAACAUAACAUUUUUCCAGUUGACAUUGGCACUUGCAUGCCAACAUGCCCCAAUGGAAGCACAGUGCAUUAAACAUGGCAACUGCACUUCAUUCAACAAGGAAAUUGCACCCGCGUAAGCAUGGCAAAACAGAAUUUUCAUUGAACAUGGCAACUGCAGCUGAGUAAGCAUGGCAAAACAAUAUUUCAUUAAACAUGGCAACUGCAUAUCAUGGCAACUGCAUUGCACUCUAUAAGGCACCUGCUGCCUAUGUGCUUUUUUCUGCAAAUAAGACUGUAACGCAACUGACUUACUUGUUAAAGAUCUUGUUCGUGUAUAUCUUGCUCAUUUGCCUCUCCAUCGGUAAAUACAUUAGCAAUUUUGGCUGCUUUAGUGUUAUGGUCGCUUCUUGCUGUAGCUCAGAUCCCAGAAUUUUUUGUUGCAAAGUUGUGUACUGCUUGGCAAAUUGUAGCAAUGAGUUGCCAGGGCUGAUGUACCGCUUCAAAACAGCAUUGAACCCCUCGCUGCGCUGCGUAGUCUGCAGAAAUGGGAAGAAGCACUGCAUGAAGUAGGCCGGCACCCAGUACAUUCGCUUCUCCCACAGGUUAGCAAGUGUCUCGUUGUCUUGGACUUGAUGUGUUUCAAUCAUGGCCAUCCAGCUCCUUUCAAACUCCUCCACUGUCAAGCUGUGGUCCACGCACAACUCGAAUGCCUUGUGCAGCUCUGGACGGUCAGCAAAGAACGAUCCUAGCGUCUCCUCAGCCUUCUUUAUAAUGUGCCACCUGCAGUGCCUGUGCACUGCAAACGGAAAGACCUCCUCUAUGCCUGCACGCAUGCUGAAAUCUUGGUAUGUUAUUAUGUUCAUCGGAGCAAGUCCAUCCAUGCACUCCAAGAAGGUCUUGAACAGCCAAACGUACCCAUCCGUGUCUUCGUUCCGGACGAGCCCGCAGCCGAACUGCAACGACUGAUUAUGGUUAUUUAUUCCUAUGAACGGAGCGCAUGGCAUCUUGUACAUAUUGGUGAGGUAUGUCGCGUCGAAUGAAAUGCAAUCUCGGAAAUGCUUGUAGGCUCUCCUUGCAGCACCAUCCACCCAAUACAUGUUUCUGACACGGUCCUCAUCGCCCAACCUUAUCCUGUAGAAGAAAUCUGGAUCUUCCUUCGCUUUCUCAUCGAAGUAGGCAAUUGUGGCCUCUAUGUCUGCCAACUUGCUCUCUCUACGGUACUUGGCCUGUAGGUUUGUGACGUCAGCUGGUAUGUACGGCAUGCUACUCAGUUUCCCCUUUUUGCUGUGGAUGAGAGAUAGUAUCUGUACCAUUCUGGAUGGACCGACGUUACAAUCAUGUAGCAGCUUUACGAAUUGCCUUUCGACGGGGGUGAACCCUCUGUGGGCGGUCAGAAAUUUUACCAGGUCGAACUUCUUUAUGAGUUGGUGGUUGUGCUCGUCAAAAUACUCAUUGACCACCCACUGUCCUCCAUCUACGUUUAGCUUACACCGGACGGGACACUCUGUCUUGAGAAUGAUACCUCUCUUUCGUUACGGAAUGACAGGCGCAACACCUUUCCCCUUCUUGUUCCUCCGUGCCUUGUGGCACCUCAUCUCACCUCUGUUGUACUCGUUAGUUUUCUUAAAUUUUCUAUGGUACUCGGUGUUGACCGCAAAUCCAUGAAACUUUGCAUAUGUUUGGUAGUAUUCCUUUGCUUCUUCGAACGAUUCAAAUCUCUGCCCAAUGUACGGUGGCUUAGGUACCAUCUGAUUGCCCACCAUCUUCAUCCCCUUGUGCAUUGUCGUCAGUUUCAUCAUUCACUUCAGUAUCGGCGGCAGUUCCAUCUUCUUGAGUGUUGGCAGUGUUUGUGUUCAAAGGGGUGCUUGUCGGCAUUGCUGGAAUGAUUGCCAUUCCCGACUCUGGCUCGAAAUUGUUUGCGGCAUGAUUGUCUGCUGGCUGGUGGAACGCGUCUUCCGUGCGCUCAGAGCUCCCCACAGUAGAUGUUCCCGCGCCACUGUUCACUGUAGUUGUAGGCCCUGUAAUAGAAAAAACAGGUAUGAGAUUAAGAUUUUUGUUUGAAUAACAUGUGUAUCGCGAUGGAUCACAUCAUCUUCGAGUGAUUUGGCAUGACAUCAUUUCAAACAGCAAGCCAUGAGGCUGCGCUUGGACAUGUAUGGCAGCUGUAUCUGUCCAGUCAUGGCAGCUACUGUUCAACAAACAUGGCAACUACUGUUUUGCCUACCAAUAACUACAAAUAACAAAUGUAGUGUUAUUUCUGUGGGUCGGUUUUUCUCCUUACCUUGUUGUGCUGCAUUUGACCAUCUUGUGUGGUCUGUGACACCAAAAUGACGUGCUCCACCUGCAGUUUGUGAAGCUUGCCACGAGACGUUUGCCGGGUUACCACCAGCGUAAUAACCUGUAAGCAUAGUAUUGGUUGGUCAAUUCAUGGCAAAUGUAGUUUGUGCUAGCACGACAUCUACAGUUGCCCCUGAUGUGGCAACUGCAGUUUUAAUGGCAUGGCAAAUGUAGUUGCAUCUGUAUGGCAACUGCAGUUAUUCCUUCAUGGCAGCUGCAGUUGCCAUGGCAUGGCAAAUGUAAUUUUUCCUCCAUGGCAACUGCAGGUGUCUACGGAUGGCAUCUGCAGUUGUCCAUGGAUGGCAACUGCAGGUGUCUAUGAAUGGCAAUUGCAGGUGUCUAUGGAUGGCAACAACAGUUGUCCAGGGAUGACAAGUGUAGUUUUUAAAUCAUGGCAAUUGUAGAUGUCCAGUCAUGGCAAUUGUAGAUGUCAACUAUGCUCCUUCUGCUAAUUGAGCAUCCGCAACUUCACUUUUUUUGUGGACUCACCUGUGUAUGAUGUCGAUGGCAGGUACAUGGGUGUUGCCUGAUGCCACGUGCUGCAUGAACGCUCUGCAUUUUCACCCGUGAUAACUCGUGAGUCCUUUUGCCAGUUUUUUUGCAUGUUUGUUUUUCACGUCCACAGCAACAUGUGCUCUUUUUUCGUUUUGCAUUACCUUGAUAAGCCGUACUAGCUAGUUGAAGUCGGCUGCCCGCACAUUUGUCAGUGUUAGCGCCUUGUGACUGAACUUGCCACGGGGGCCCCCUAAGAGUGUUUUGGUCAUAAGAACCUGCAAAAAAAUGAGAAUAUACGACAUAAGUAGAAUGUCAUCUUCAUCGUUGCGAAGAUGGCAACUGUUCUCUUCUUUUGUUAUCACGCAUCAUACCUACGCCUGCAUACUGUUCUAGUAGUGGCAGCAAUGGCCCUGCAGAGAUGAGUUGACUGUACUCUGAUGCAUCCCAAGGGGGCGUUUCUGGCCUUUGAGAACCCCAAGCAUCAGCGCCAUCUUCGUGAUUCAUUCUUUUCGUGUCUCGCUUCUUUCCGAUGUGCUCUGAAUCACUGCAUGAACAAGAAGGCAUCAAUAAUCCACAAGAAUUGUAUUCUUCUGCUGCUUGCCCAUAGAAGAUGGGGAUGGCAAGCAACAGGUCAAAAUAGGUGGCAGCUACUGACAAAGAAAGGUGGCAACUAUCGUUACACACAAGUGGCAAUUAAUUUUUCCCCACCCCUUCAUUCCAAAAAUUGUCCUUCCUGUCCUUUUUUAGGGAUUCCUACUCAUCCAUUUCAUACACAACUACCUGCGUCAAUUAUACUAGAAACUUAAGUUAAGCUCAACAUGUAGAUAACAAAAACUACUGGAUCUCAGAACUACUGGUGUUGCCACCCCCCUAUAGCAUGGAUCCAGUACAAGAUUGGGGAGAUUUUUCAGCCUGAAGGAUGAGAAGGAUGACAUAGGGAGAUUUUCACCUGAUUUUAGUUGAUCGUCUCUGAAGGGCUGGUUGGAGUGGGGGGCUAGGGGUGGGGAGGGUUGGGGUGUGGUUUGCGGUGGGUUUGCCCUACGGAUCUGCUCUGGUUGCCAUGGCAACCAGAGAAGGCCGGCGACGGAGGUAGGGGUCGAGAGGUGGAGGACGAUGGCGGCAGUCGAGAGAGGCGAUCGAGCGGAGGACGGGAACGGCUGGGUUGUGCGGGCAGCGGGUCGUGUGGCCCGGACGGGGCAGUGCGGGCGGGGUUGCCACGCACCGGACGUGCGGGCCGUGGUUUUGUGCGCGCGGACGUGGUCGUGCGGGCCGGUUCCCGUCCAUGCCACAUGAGGCAUGCGGGCGGGUUCCCGUCCAUGCCACACGUGUGGCAGUUAUUCGGACCCAUAUAUUUUUAUAGUAGUAUUUUUUUUCUUCAUCUCACUUUUCUAUGGCUGCAUUGCAUAUCAUGUAGUAUGUUGUGACAGAUAAUUUCCUUCUUAUUUCUCAUAUGUGUUUCUGUUGUACAAAUGUUUUGUGCCAGACUAUGCCAGGUAUGCAUUUGUGUAUAUGCUGGAUCUUAAAAGAUAUUCUAAACACAAAUUAUGCUUGUAUAUUUUUAGUUUACAGAUGGCUGGAUCUGCUCCUUGGUCUAGCAGGAUGGACGUAGCUACCUACUUGAUUCAAAUCAUUGCUUUGUGGGGCUGGUUCGACGUCGACAAAGCAGGCAUGAAGAAUGCAUGCUUUCUUACGUGGGAUUGUUUGCUUCCUCAUGCCUGACAAUUGCUUCCUACCUCAUCUACGCCCGUGCACGAGGAUAUUAGGCAUGCCAAGUCUUCCUGUGGCCCAGACUAGCCACUACACUAGCUACGUCGGCCCGAUCUCGUCAUUGUCGAUCCGAUCUCAUCGAUGCUACUCCUUGAAGACAUCCGGCGCUCAUGUUAGGGGCUUCACACCGUUGUGCUUCGAUGUUUAUGUCUUGUUGUAUGGAAGCAAAGUCCAAUAUAUAUUCAAAGAAAUUUUUGUUUUCUUUGGAAGCAAAUUAUGAUCUCAUUUAUAAGCAAUGUUCAUGAAAGUAUACAUCAAUCAGAAAGUUGGCCGUUGAAAAUAUGUAUGUGCAAUGGUGGAUAUAAAUUUCAACUUCAUUGGAAGCACAUGCUCAUUUUGUUUGAAGCAGAUGUAAUUGUUCGUCGCACAUGCACGCUGUACCAACUUAAUAAUUUUGUAU
rnacentral:lncRNA from 1 species